rnacentral:rRNA from 1 species
UGGGGAAUAUUGGGCAAUGGGGGAAACCCUGACCCAGCGACGCCGCGUGAGGGAAGAAGGCCUUAGGGUCGUAAACCCCUGUUGUGUGGGAAGAAGAGCGUGACGGUACCACACGAGGAAGUCCCGGCUAACUACGUGCCAGCAGCCGCGGUAAUACGUAGGGGACGAGCGUUGUCCGGAUUCACUGGGCGUAAAGGGCGCGUAGGCGGUCAUUUAAGUCAGCUGUGAAAUGGUUUGGCUUAACCGGAUCAUGCGGUCGAAACUGGAUGACUGGAGUGCUGGAGAGGCAAGUGGAAUUCCCAGUGUAGCGGUGAAAUGCGUAGAUAUUGGGAAGAACACCGGUGGCGAAAGCGACUUGCUGGCCAGCAACUGACGCUGAGGCGCGAAAGCCAGGGGAGCAAACGG